UUUUAAACCCGACAGCAGCGAUACCCUUUUUUGUUAUUAAUAAAUUAACAUUUAACCGUAAUUAAAAAAAAGGUAAAGCGAAUGGCGGGACCGCUG
rnacentral:sRNA from 1 species